rnacentral:lncRNA from 1 species
GAUCUACAUAUUUCUUUUUUUUUUUUUAAGCAGAGUUUGAAGAGAUUCAGCCGUGUGUAUGUUUGGCAUGAGAAAAGAGCUACACAAGAAGGAGAAACUUUCUCACCCUCUUUAUAAAUUAUUUCUUGUGAGUAAAGCAACAACGAAAAUUAGGCAAAUUAGAGCUAUUUCUUAACAUUUUUAAAAGCAAGUCAAGAACCUAAGCCCUGUAGUGAAUGAGUACUAUAAUGGGUGAGAUAACCCAUGUCUCUCCGAACACUUCUGAGAUGUUUAGGAAUUUAUUUUCAAUGUGAGAUAAAUUGGGAUCCCCAAGCCUAGGAACUUUUGAAUUGUUAUACUACUGUAUGCUUUCUUUUACAGUGAAGACCAGCACAAAGGAGAGAGGAAACUUGGGGCACAGUGGCUUGGCUGCCUGAUUUACUUCUCUGCAUCUCUAGUAUCCAAGCUGGUAGUCUAGACUCCGGAGAAACGCAACUUCAGAGCCUAAAAGGCCAGUGGUGGGACCUAUUUCAGACCUGCUUUUUGAUGUGAUGCAAGUUGCACCAGAAGCCUCUACUAGCAAUGUGAGAUGCCUGGAUGAGCGGGUUAAGAGGACCCAACUCCUGCUGUUUGUGCACAUGUGCACAGAUAACCUACGGUGGACACGCCAGCCUUGUGGGUAUCUACAGAGUCUCAGCCUGGCUACUUCAACCCAUCCGCUUUCAGACCUUCUGGUCCCAGGAUUUUUGCAGCUGGAUGUGUGUGGUCUUCACCUACCCCAGAGUGAUGGUAAAGGAGACAACGCAGAAGUCAUGAGAGGACUCUGGGAAGGAGAUUUAAGGCUGCUUCCAGAAGAGCCCUUUCUCCUUAGCAUCUGCAGCAUCCUGCUGUCAGGAAAGGCACAAGGAGGAGUCAGGCAUGAAACAUGAGCCAUGGUGACUGAAAACUAGUCUUUCUCACCAACAUGAAGACCUCAACUGUUUGUUCCAUGCAUGAACCAAGGCGACAGCAGCUUUCAGGGUUUUACAGUGCAACUGUGUCACAGCAGCUGGAGGAAGCAUUAAACCAGGUGAGUCAAGCUGGGAUAUCCAGGUUCUACACAGGACUCCUAUGAUCUUAAGCAUUGCUGAUGCUGCUUAGAUUUUCCACAUGACUUUAAGGACAAAUUUCAGCUCCAAAGCAGAGCUUCAUAGUGUGUCGUCAUAGGAAUGCAGCUGAGCUGCAAUGCCAGCUAAAGAUCAGAGUGAUAAGGACCACUUUAAUGCUAUAGAAUAAGUUGUGUCAUAGUAUAAUGGCCUUCAACCAAGGAAAAUGGGAACUAAAGCAGCUUUUCUAGGAGUCUACUUUCAUAUUACCAGGGUCUUUAGGCAGAAUGUGUGCAGGGGGUUGGUGGUCUUGAGAUCUUAGAAAUGGAGGGGACUAUAAACGGUUGUCAUAUGGUUAAUGUGUUCCAUAUAUCUGGAGAAUUCAUUAAGUGAUCUAUUAAUUACUGGUGCCAGUAUAGCAGAAGCAAGAGAGUGAAAAAACUAAUAGUUUGUUGGUACAGUCAACAAAGAGAAGGAAAAUAAGCAUCACCGAAGUUGUAAAUAUGUCACAGAAGUUCAAAAACUUAUGU